rnacentral:rRNA from 1 species
AGUGAACGCUGGCGGUAGGCCUAACACAUGCAAGUCGAACGGCAGCACAGUAAGAGCUUGCUCUUACGGGUGGCGAGUGGCGGAUGGGUGAGGAAUACAUCGGAAUCUACUUUUUCGUGGGGGAUAACGUAGGGAAACUUACGCCAAUACCGCAUACGACCUACGGGUGAAAGCAGGGGAUCUUCGGACCUUGCGCGAUUGAAUGAGCCGAUGUCGGAUUAGCUAGUUGGCGGGGUAAAGGCCCACCAAGGCGACGAUCCGUAGCUGGUCUGAGAGGAUGAUCAGCCACACUGGAACUGAGACACGGUCCAGACUCCUACGGGAGGCAGCAGUGGGGAAUAUUGGACAAAGGGCGCAAGCCUGAUCCAGCCAUACCGCGUGGGUGAAGAAGGCCUUCGGGUUGUAAAGCCCUUUUGUUGGGAAAGAAAAGCAGCAGGUUAAUACCCCGCUGUUCUGACGGUACCCAAAGAAUAAGCACCGGCUAACUUCGUG